GGUCAAAGAUUUAUCGGUGAAGGGUGAGCCUGCGUCUGAUUAGCUAGUUGGUGGGGUAACGGCCUACCAAGGCAGCGAUCAGUAGCCGACCUGAGAGGGUGAUCGGCCACAUUGGAACUGAGACACGGUCCAAACUCCUACGGGAGGCAGCAGUGGGGAAUAUUGCACAAUGGGCGCAAGCCUGAUGCAGCAACGCCGCGUGAACGAUGAAGGCCUUUGGGCCGUAAAGUUCUGUCCUUGGGGAAGAUAAUGACGGUACCCUUGGAGGAAGCCCCGGCUAAUUACGUGCCAGCAGCCGCGGUAAUACGUAAGGGGCAAGCGUUAUCCGGAAUUAUUGGGCGUAAAGCGUACGUAGGUGGUUUUUUAAGUCCAUGGUUUAAGACAGUGGCUCAACCAUUGUAUGCCGUGGAAACUGGAAAGCUUGAGUGCAGGAGGGGAAAGCGGAAUUCCUAGUGUAGCGGUGAAAUGCGUAGAUAUUAGGAGGAACACCGGUGGCGAAGGCGGCUUUCUGGACUGCAACUGACACUGAGGUACGAAAGCGUGGGGAGCAAACAGGAUUAGAUACCCUGGUAGUCCACGCCAUAAACGAUGAGCACUAGAUGUUGGGACAGCGAUGUCUCGGUAUCGUAGUUAACGCAAUAAGUGCUCCG
rnacentral:rRNA from 1 species